rnacentral:misc_RNA from 1 species
GAUGAAGAACGCAGCGAAAUGCGAUAAGUAAUGCGAAUUGCAGAAUUUCCGUGAGUCAUCGAAUCUUUGAACGCACAUUGCGCCUCUCGGUACUCCGGGAGGCACGCCUGUUCGAGCGCCAUUACACACCCCAAGCGUGGCUUGAUGUUGGACGAUGUCUGUGACAGGACAGGUCUGGAACGCGUUGGCGCCGCCGGCGGACCACGAGCGUAGCAAGACGAAAGUCAUCGCUCUGUUGGACAUCCGACGGUUGGCUGUCUUGGAGGAUGUGUUGGGGUUACCCGACAUGUCGUCUAACGAAUCACGAGUUUGGCCUCGGAUCAGGCGGGGAUACCCGCUGAACUUAAGCAUAUCAAUAAGCGGAGGA